UAUGACGGCCAUAGCGGCGGGGCAACACCCGGUCCCUUUCCGAACCCGGAAGUAAAGUCCGCCCGCGUAUCUGUCUGUACUGUACUGCGCAAGCGUACGGGAACACAGACACGCUGUCAACC
rnacentral:rRNA from 1 species